GUGGAAAGGACAGCAUAUAGAUAGCACACAAGUUAGAUAGAGGCAGACAAAUAAAAAAUAAGGAAAAGAACAGCACGUAUAACAAGAGAUCUCCUUUUGCUGUAUCUGCUGGUGCUGGACAACAAAACUACCAUGCCAGUUUUGGUUUCUAGGGGUCUGUUGGGAACCAUGCGAAGGGAAACCUGUGUCACCUGACCUCUUCAGGACAUGAGGACCACAAGGUGGCAUAUUUUCCAAGAUAUCAUACAAGUGGGCGACUGUACGCAUCUGCCAGCAGUUCUGGGAUGGUUGGCAAGUUUCCCUUCCGGAUGAUGAUGUUUGGCUUCAUAGCCCCAGGUGCGAAUGCCCACACUGGACCAGUUGGCCAGAGAGUGUGCGAGGAGGCCAUAGUUUGAAUCAUUCCUAAAGGUUUAAAAAGAAAGCAACAGCAGACCUUAUCUCGUGCUCUAUUGAAUUAUUUUCUUCAUCAAGCUGUCAUAGAAACUGGAUGUAAUGCUUCCUCAUCAUACGGCAGCCCUCCAACACCUAAAUUAAGAAGUGAAUAGUGCAGGGGUUAAUUAUGAACCUGGAAAAGCUGUGUAGCACUUCUUGGGAAGGCAUCAGCCCGUGAGGGACCUGCGCGGGGUGCAGCAGUGAGAUGCCUCAGCAGGAGCCAGCAAAGUGUUCACCCUGGAUGUUCAACCAGCUUCACGGCUGCUUUGGAAGAGUCACAACCGAGCUGUCUCGGCGUCAGUUCUGAAAGCAGUAAGCACACAAGGUUACUGCCUGGUGUUUCCUUUCAUAGCUGAGACAUACCUCCGGUAUGGCCGUUAAGGAGACUGCCUGCAAGACAACUCCAUCCAGGAAUGACAUGCAGUUCCUUGGUGUGUUUUCCUUGGCUGCAGCCCGUGUCUCUCUUCAUCCCCUGAUUCCAGACAGCAGCACCUCCUGCAGCCACUGCCUUCUACAGAACUUCCAUUCCGCAGAGCUGAGGGAAAGGCUUUGGAGCAUCGCCUGCUGCCUUCACAGAGGCAUUUUAAGAGUUUUUGUUCUGAGCUGUACAGCAAGCAGAAAAGUAAUAUACAUAAUAAAGUAAAGAAAUAUUAUGUACUUGAAUUUUUAAUUAAGUUCUAUUUACGAUGUUGUCGUCCAUUUUGAAACAUUAAGAAUAGCUCUACCUUCAAUGCAGGAAGGAUUUCCCUUAUCUACGUAUUUCACAAUAAAAAAGGAAAAGGAAUGUGGCUAUUUUUACAUUGUAAGUGCCUUUAUGUCAAAUAUAAGCUAGAUUUUAUUUUUUAAUGAAACUUAAUUUAGCCUAGUUAAGAAACCAAUAACCAUAUUUCCUAAUUCAGUUUAUUAAAGUAAUAAACACAGCUAUUCCAGGAAAUGAAAAUAUUUCUGUAUAUGAAAUAGAGUUCUCUGCAGAAGAUAUUCAAGUGUGGAUCUCUGAUGUUUAGCAGUAAAAAUGUAUAUUGGGUAUAAAAUGGGCUUCUCUCUAUCCAUGUGUUCUGGGCGUCAUCCGGUCUGAGGGAUGUCUGUGCAUAAUGCGGAUUCUCAG
ensembl:lncRNA